rnacentral:rRNA from 1 species
UACGUAGGGGCGAGCGUUAUCCGGAAUUAUUGGGCGUAAAGGGUUCGCAGGUGGUCUGUUAAGUCAGAUGUGAAAGGCAGUGGCUCAACCAUUGCAAGCAUUUGAAACUGGCAGACUUGAGUACAGGAGAGGAAAGCGGAAUUCCUAGUGUAGCGGUGAAAUGCGUAGAUAUUAGGAGGAACACCAGUGGCGAAGGCGGCUUUCUGGACUGAAACUGACACUGAGGAACGAAAGCGUGGGGAGCAAACAGGAUUAGAUACCCUGGUA